UCUCUCUCUCUCUCUCUCUCUCUCUCUCUCAUCAUUCAUCAUCCCAUCCGCUCGCCUUCUCGCUCUAAAACUAUCUUUCCUCUGUCUCUCUCAUUCCUGUAUAUCCUCUCCCAAUUCCAAAUUUUCUCUUCAAUUCUCAAAAGUGACAAAAGUUAGACAGAUAGAAGCAAUUAUUUUCACUUUUCUUUCUGAAUUAUUAUACCAACCAUCUCUCUCUCUCUCUCUCUCUCUCUCUCUGUAUUGCCAGCUCUAUGUGAUAUACUCUCCUCUCUCUCUCAUCAUCAUCUUCUGGAAAAAGAAAAAACAGAGAUCUCAGAAGGUAUUGGAAUGGUGAGAGGGCUGCAUAGACUGCAUUUUGUUUGGCAUGGUUGGCUUUAAACGCAUCUGCCCCACUAUGCUUGGCGUUUAAUUCUACUCUUUUUGAAGAAAGACGAGGAUACUAAUGGUAAACAAUGUGAGAAGUGUAUUAUACAGCAGGUAACAGGUGUGCUAGUGGAGCAAAUGCUAAUUAGAUAACUUUUAGAGGUCAGUAAUUAUGGUACUUAAAUUAUUUGCAGCGGAUAUCCAAAUGAAUCAUUGGUACGGAUUUGCAGAAUGUGAAAUAAUGUAGCUUUGGAUUAAUGCUGAAAUGAAACUGUAAGACUGUGUUUGGUUAAGGGAUUUGAGAAAGGAUUUGGAAAGGAAAAAGGAAAAAGUGUGUGAAACUAGGUGAAAUGUAAGUAUGUUUUAUUUACAUUUCACCUAACUUUUCUCUUUCUCUUUCUAAAUCCCUUAUCAAAUCCCCCAACCAAACACAGCGUAAUGGUAUUGGCAUCAUACCAUUCCCAGAGAUAACUUUAUGGGUCUACUUCAAGAAGUAAUGAAUAACAGAAAGAUUACCAAGUUUUGGGUUGAGAUGUCUGGGACUUUGCAAUUUAAGGAUUGUAAUUGUAAGAUGGAAGUCAGUGCUGCUGACUACUGUUUUUUUAUAUUAGAUCUUUGAGGAUUUCAAGCUAUUUACGAAGAAAAAUGAUUGGGAGCUUUAAUAAAGAAACUCUAAUGAGUUUUAAUGGGAGUAGAUCCUACUGUAAUGUGAUGUUUUGGUUUUAGUUUUAUUUAUUUUUAUUCCCUAUCACAUUAUUAGAACUCAAUUAGAACUCCAAAAUUAGAUAGAUGUAUCAUUGCCAAAAGUGUUAGAUAUGUGAGUAACGAUGCUAUCUCAUUACUGACAAUCUGAUGUGUGACCAGAGGAUGGAUCCUUCAAUAAAUUCUUAAAUUUACUGAGACUUUAUUGUUUCUUGGAAGAAGAGAAAUGCGAACUUGAAUAAUACAUGGCCAUUUGAUGUUAACUUCUUGGUCGAAAGAUCUUCUUUGAUGAGAUGAGUGGUGCACGCUUUGGGCCAAUAUGGUCCCGAUUAGGUCUGUACCUGAUUCACCACUUGCAAAACCCAGGACUGGUGGGAGGGGCGCUAGGUUAUGACGCUCUUUUUCCUUUUUCCUUGUUUCUUCAUUGACAAAAUGGUGAGAUGAUAUGAAUUUUAGCCUCAUUUAUUCGAUUGUUUUUCAAUUUGGAUUGAAAAUUGGUACUUACCAUGAAUAUUUAUUUAUUUUUGUUAUUGUCUACUGCACAAGUUUAAAAUACUUCGGGCAUUUGUAGCUUAGUAGUUUAAAAUUUGAAAUUACAUGCUUAAUCAAUUGCACUUUGAAGUUUGAAAAGUUGGGAUGUUUUUAAUAAAACUUUUCUGGUUUUAAGCUUAUUUGAUUUUUUGGCUCAAAAUUCUCAAGUUGAAAAGGCUAAUAAUUUUUCCCCCUGAGCUUGGUUUUAUGUCUUUCUUUCAAAUUUUCCACUUCUAUACUCACCCUAAAAAACAUUUCCACUUACAAAUUUUUUUCUCAAAAUUAUCUGACGUAGAACAUAUAGUUAAAGAAUUUACGGAGCAACUGCAUUGGAAUAGCUGAAUCCAUGAAUCCACAAAGAUCAAAGAUAGAACGGUUGAAAAGCGGUUUUGCUUAAGGGAGCAAAGACAUUAAACAACUUAAGCAACUCGAAAUCUGAAUUAUAUAUAUAGCAAAUAAACAUAUAAAUUAUUAGCUAUUAGAUGUAUUAAAGUAAUUUAAAUCAUUAGGUCAUAUUAAAUAUAUUAUAUAUAUAAGUAACACAAUAUAAAAUCUUAUAUAUUUUUUUCUUACUCAUAAAUUGGCCCUAUUUGAGAAGAGGGUUUGAGGCUAAAAUAGUUCAUAAAAACAAAAUAAGCUAAAAUAAUCAAUAAGAAAAAUGUCACAUUCAAACCAUAAUCAUUUUAUUUUUUUCUCUCAUAACUAUCAAAUCAAUUAUAAAAAAAGCUAACUAUCUUUUCAAACACAACCUUUUUUAGUCAGGCUAAAAUAGUUAAAAAAUCAAUUCAAAUAACCAAGUUCCCAAAUUGUGAUGACCACCAUAGUGGCAUCUAUUUUAUAUUAUAUAAAUUAUUUGUUUUGAAGUUAUUAAUGAUUUUAUAAAAAAAUAUAUAUAAAUAGAAUCUAAUUUUAACAAAUUAAUUAACUUAGCUGCAUUAAAAAAGCGGAAGAGGGGAACUAAAAUUUAUAUAAAAUUCGGGCAAUUCAGGUUUAAGUCAGGUCGGGCUUAGUUAUACAAUUUCGGAUUGAAAUUUAGACUUGGACAGCUCUUAACAUAACUUGGGUUGAGCUUAAACAGCCUUUCAACCCGUCCAAACCCGCAUGAGUUGCACCCUAGCUUUGCCUUACAUAACACAGCAACAAUCCUUUGCUAAUCCAUUUUGUUUAUGCCCUGAGCCUUGAGGAAUCCAUUUUAGCAUUUCUAAUUUAGUUCACCUUUCUUUUGUUUCAGAUUU